UGGGGGAUAUUGCACAAUGGGCGAAAGCCUGAUGCAGCGACGCCGCGUGGGGGAUGAAGGCCUUCGGGUUGUAAACUUCUUUUGCUCUGAACAAGGCAUGCUAAUGGGUGUGUUGAGUGUAGGGGUUGAUUAGCGCCGGCUAACUACGUGCCAGCAGCCGCGGUAAUACGUAGGGCGCGAGCGUUGUCCGGAAUUAUUGGGCGUAAAGGGCUUGUAGGUGGCUGGUUGCGUCUGUCGUGAAAGCUCAUGGCUUAACUGUGGGUUUGCGGUGGGUUUGGGCUGGCUUGAGUGCAGUAGGGGAGGCUGGAAUUCCUGGUGUAGCGGUGGAAUGCGCAGGUGUCAGGAGGAAUACCGGUGGCGGAGGCGGGUCUCUGGGCUGUUACUGACACUGAGGAGCGAAAGCAUGGGGAGCGAACAGG
rnacentral:rRNA from 1 species